AGCAGGCGCGCAAAUUACCCAAUCCCAAUACGGGGAGGUAGUGACAAUAAAUAACAAUAUGGGGCUCUUACGGGUCUCGUAAUUGGAAUGAGUACAAUUUAAAUCUCUUAACGAGGAACAAUUGGAGGGCAAGUCUGGUGCCAGCAGCCGCGGUAAUUCCAGCUCCAAUAGCGUAUAUUAAAGUUGUUGCAGUUAAAAAGCUCGUAGUUGAAUUUCGGAGUUUGUCGGUUGGUCGGGCUUCACUGUCCGCACUGGCCUGAUGGAUUCCUACCUUCUGAAUAACCAGCAUGCUAUUAAGUUAGUGCGUUGGGGAAGCAGAGCUAUUACCUUGAAAAAAUUAGAGUGCUUAAAGCAGGCUUUUGCUUGAAUAGAUUAGCAUGGAAUAAUNAAAUAGGACGGCAUGGUUCUAUUUUGUUGGUUUCUAGGAUCACCGUAAUGAUUAAUAGGGAUAGUUGGGGGCAUUAGUAUUCAAUUGUCAGAGGUGAAAUUCUUGGAUUUAUUGAAGGCUAACUUCUGCGAAAGCAUUUGCCAAGGAUGUUUUCAUUAAUCAAGAACGAAAGUUAGGGGAUCGAAGACGAUCAGAUACCGUCGUAGUCUUAACCAUAAACUAUGCCGACUAGGGAUCGGACGAUGUUAAUUUUUUAAUGACUCGUUCGGCGCCUUACGGGAAACCAAAGUGUUUGGGUUCA
rnacentral:rRNA from 1 species